GUGCAAACUUGAUCACUAGCUUUGCUUGAUGCAUCAGAAGCUAAUGAAACCAGGUUGCUAAAAAGUACUUGUCGUGAUAGGACUUGUUGGCUUCCGAAGCUAUUGACAUGGCCCCAUUCUUUGGUCAUUUCAUCA
ensembl:snoRNA SNORA66 Small nucleolar RNA SNORA66